CUGGCGAUUGGGACGAAGUCGUAACAAGGUAGCCGUACCGGAAGGUGCGGCUGGAUCACCUCCUUUCUAAGGAGCA
rnacentral:rRNA from 1 species